AGAGAAUUGAAGUAAUUCAAGUGUUAUAUUUCAUCUUUUCUAUCACUAGGUUGUCAUCAAUUAUUUCAAAUCUGUUUUUUUUUUUAUUGGUUUUGUUGUACAGAUUACUUCAUGAAUCCGUUAUUAAGUGCAGUACCCAUUAGUUAUUUUUUCUGAUCCUCUCCUUCCUUGCACCCUCCACCCUCUGAUAAGACCAACUGUCUGUUGUUCCCUCUAUGUGUCCAUAUGUACUCAUCAUUCAGCACCCACUUGUGAG
rnacentral:lncRNA from 10 species